UACGGAGGGUGCAAGCGUUGUCCGGAUUUAUUGGGUUUAAAGGGUGCGUAGGCGGCCUGUUAAGUCAGGGGUGAAAGACGGUGGCUCAACCAUCGCAGUGCCCUUGAUACUGAUGGGCUUGAUUUCAGUUGAGGUAGGCGGAAUGUGACAAGUAGCGGCGAAAUGCAUAGAUACGUCACAGAACACCGAUUGCGAAGGCAGCUUACUAAAGUGAUAAUGACGCUGAGGCACGAAAGCGUGGGGAUCAAAC
rnacentral:rRNA from 1 species